rnacentral:misc_RNA from 1 species
GCUGAGCACGGCAUUCAGUUCCACAUUCGUAACUUUCUGCAUUUCCCCAAUGACUUGAAAAAUCUAACAAAGCAUGAAAACGAGCUAAAGGUGCAAAGCCCCUCAACUCAUAGUCCUCCCAGAGAGCAAUGCUUCCUGGAGGCUUGACUUCACCCUUGUUAAUAUCAAACCGCUUCAUAAGUUCAAGAUAAACACCAAAAAAAUAAGACACAGAACUUCUACAUUUUUCAUCAGAUCCAUAUACUUCUGCGUCAUCAAGAGUCCCCCCCAGCCACUCUGUAAACACAAGCAAAGCNCAAAGCUGGAAAAAGGGGACAAGAGUCCAAGACAUUUGCCUUCAAACAUCUAUCAGCG